rnacentral:rRNA from 1 species
GACGAACGCUGGCGGCGUGCUUAACACAUGCAAGUCGAACGGAAAGGCCCUGCUUUUGUGGGGUGCUCGAGUGGCGAACGGGUGAGUAACACGUGAGUAACCUGCCCUUGACUUUGGGAUAACUUCAGGAAACUGGGGCUAAUACCGGAUAGGAGCUCCUGCUGCAUGGUGGGGGUUGGAAAGUUUCGGCGGUUGGGGAUGGACUCGCGGCUUAUCAGCUUGUUGGUGGGGUAGUGGCUUACCAAGGCUUUGACGGGUAGCCGGCCUGAGAGGGUGACCGGCCACAUUGGGACUGCGAUACGGCCCAGACUCCUACGGGAGGCAGCAGUGGGGAAUAUUGCACAAUGGGCGGAAGCCUGAUGCAGCAACGCUGCGUGCGGGAUGACGGCCUUCGGGUUGUAAACCGCUUUCGCCUGUGACGAAGCGUGAGUGACGGUAAUGGGUAAAGAAGCACCGGCUAACUACGUG